UUCACAACUUGAACUGUGUAGUCAGCUGUCGGUAAUCCUGGCAAUGGCGUGCUGUGUCGCUCCAUUACAAAGUUGAUAGUAGGCUACCUUGAUGCCUAGACAGUGGGCUAAGGCAGCAACCAGCUACCUUCAGUUUCGGACAGACAUAAAAUGAAAUAGCGGUGUGGACAACAAAGAAAUUGUGGAAUUUGAAGCUCCCCAGGUGGAAAAGUAGGCGACUAGUAGCAUAAGGACUUCCUUGGUCCUUGUCGUGGUGCUGAGAUGAGGAUGAGAGCAGUGAGCAGGCAGGUGCAGUCAUGAAUUUUCACUUACUGGGAGAGGGAGUGGCUAUAUGGAAAGGAUGGACAAAGCUGCUUCAGGAGGAAAAUAGCCUAAAUCAACAGACGAGGAGUGAUGGCUGGAAAGAGAAGCCCAUUCCGCUCUCUUUCUCCACGGACACAUACAACUCUGCUGAUUGCAGUGGACUGGGGGGGCCGUGGGAGAAACAUUGAAGGGAUGAGACAAUCUAUUUAUCCCUGGUCUCUCUGAAAAGAUAAGAUGUGCUGGGACCGUCACUGGGACCUUGGCCAAGACUUCAACAUUAACACAAUUAUUGUUUCCACAAUUGCCCCUGGUUCCAGGAGGAACAGACUAUAAAAGGGUAUUGUUUCAUAAUUAGUUCAGAGGACACACCUCCGUCUUGCCCGUAUCAGUCAAUCCAUUUAGAGAGUGCUUAGGAGGCAAAGCUCCCUGUGGGUAGCGUCGUGACCUUGGUGAGUCUCUCUUAUAAGAAACUCAGGCUUUGGUCAACAGCAUCUGUAUGCUGACUCCUGCAAGCAGUAUUACUAUUUCUACAUGUGAACUUUUCAAAGAAGCAUCAGAUUGUUUAAUUACUACAGACUUUAGAGCACUGCUUGACAUUAUAUAAUGUAGUAUGUGGUAGCUUGACAUUUAUGUGACAUGCAGAAAGGACUGUGAGAUGGGGGAAAAACUGUGAAGGCC